rnacentral:rRNA from 1 species
AUUGAACGCUGGCGGCAGGCCUAACACAUGCAAGUCGAACGAGUGGCGGACGGGUGAGUAAUGUCUGGGAAACUGCCCGAUGGAGGGGGAUAACUCCUGGAAACGGUAGCUAAUACCGCAUACCAUCGGAUGUGCCCCGGUGGGAUUAGCUAGUAGGUGGGGUAACGGGUCACCUAGGCGACGCUCCCUAGCUGGUCUGGGAGGAUGACCAGCCACACUGGAACUGAGACCCGGUCCAGACUCCUACGGUAGGCAGCAGUGGGGAAUAUUGCACAAUGGGCGCAAGCCUGAUGCAGCCAUGCCGCGUGUAUGAAGAAGGCCUUCGGGUUGUAAAGUACUUUCAGCGAGGAGGCGUUACUCGCAGAAGAAGCACCGGCUAACUCCGUGCCAGCAGCCGCGGUAAUUC